rnacentral:rRNA from 1 species
AUGGCGUUUGCUUUGCAGGGAUGGGCGGCUCAGGUCUCAGGCCUUUUGGAGCGGCUGGAGGUUAUUAGUGACAGAGUUGUUGCUUCGCCGGCCAUCAUCUCUUCCUUGGCGCCGAUGGGUCCACCUCCUCCCUGGUGUGACCAUGAGGAAUCGUUGCUUCCUGCUGUUGCUUGCGGUAAAGAUAUCAGUGAUGCGGGUGUGGCCGGUUGCUCAUCCGAGGUACUGGCUACUGUGGCUCUACCUGUAGAUAUUCCUCCUCCUUUGGAUCUAGCUUUGCACAGGAUGGUGACUCAAGGUGAGGAGGCACAAGCUAAGGUUGCUGAGAAAGUCAGAGGGACCGAUGAUAUGGAGCGGACGGAGGUGUCCUUACCUGUUGGCUUGGUUGGAGAGGUGACGCCCUUGGUCUCCUCUCCAGGGAUGACUGCCUCAGAGGGCAAUACACAUAUGAUGUCUUCCGGGUCCGAGGAGCUACUCGGUGACACUGGAGUGCCUUCAACCACCUUAUUGGAUGAGCUCCUAAGCAGUUUUAGUUGCACAGCGCCACAGUCCUUGCUCGUAGAACCGAUUCAAUUGCAGAUUGAAGGGGUAUCUACUUGUUCCGGAAGGCGUAGUGACCGUUUGGAUAAAAAGAACAAAAACUGCAACAUUCCUAUUGCCAAACGCGCUGAAUAUAGGUUGGCGGAGGCUUAUGGGGAACUACCGAAGGGAAUGACGUCUAAGAAAGCCACCGAGGAGGAGGUGCAAGAGAAGAUGAAGCCUUAUCUACAGAUGUAUAAGAAACCGCCUACGCCAAUGGCGGUCCAGGCAAUCCGUGCCUUGGUGGAAGUCAAUGUUUGA